ensembl:lncRNA
UUUAAAGCCUGUUUCCUCUACUUUGGUAAUUAGUGAAAAAACAGAACACUUGCCAAUGUUUCCUUCCGCGCCUGUUGUCUUUUACUUACCAGUUUUUUAAUAAUGUAAUGAAAACUCAAAUAGGAAACAGCAAACAUGGAAUAUUAUUGUGUAAACCUCAGUUUCUCUCUGAUGCAUUGCUCAGUCUCUGUUUUGAUAAUGUCAGUUAACUUAGGCUCUCAAUAACGAAAAUCAAUUCUAAUUUCUAUCAACGUUCAGCAAGUUUGGUGCAUUAAGAUCCAUUGAAGCUGGCAUUUUGACUACACAAAUUCAAAUAUAGUUGAUUCUUAUCAAUCACUUUUGAUAACAGACAUAAAACUUUAUAUAACACAUUUUCCUUUUCCUACUGUCUUUUAUAGCACUGUUUAUUUGGAAGUCUUUGGGGAGCCCAGGGAUUGCUGAAUGCUCUCCUUCCUGUUUUGAGCCAAGAGCCAAGAUUCUAAAUUUCAUGAUAUUGAACUAUGACCAGGUGGUGAAACAUAGCUGAAGCUCACAGAAGAGAAAUGAUCUAAUUCUCUAAUUUCUUGCUUGGAUUGAGGAAUGGAAAGCUUUUAGGAAACAUAACAGUAUUACUCCCUCCAACCAACACAAAAAUCCAUGUGACUGUGAUAAUUUAAUUAAUAUACGAUAUGUGGAUAAAUUCUAACAACUUAUUUACAGGCUAUGAAAUUUUUAAUGUCUUUAACUGAAAUGUUUUAAAAUGCAGUUGAGACUGAAAUAUUUUCUGAAAUAUUCAAUUAUCUUUUAUUGUUUAUAAAAUGAAUGAUGGGAAAAUAAAUGUAAACCCAGAUAAUGCUUUUAUCUCUAUGAAAGCAUAAAUUCCUUAUUGUUAAGCAACUGCAAAAUCCUUUUAUGUGUUUAAUGAUGUGGCUAUUAUAAAACUAGAUUGAAUAAACUGCUCAUUGUUCUAUGUCUUCUCAUGAGGCAGUUUCAUUAGGAACAAUUAGGUCGAAGGGCCAGCCUGGUGGCGCAGAAGUUAAGUGUGCACAUUUCGCUUCAGCAGCCUGAGGUUCGCAGGUUCGGAUCCCUGUUGUGGACGUGGCACCUCUUGGCAAGCUAUGCUGUGGUAGGGCGUCCCACAUGUAAACUGGAGGAAGGUGGGCACGGAUGUGAGCUCAGGGCCAGUCUUCUUCAGCAAAAAGAGGAGGAUUGGCAGCAGAUGUUAGCUCAAGGCUAGUCUUCCUCAAAAAAAAGAGAACAGUUUGGUCACACUGUGUGAAGAUGUCAUCAGCUAUGUUGCUCAUUUAAAUUGUAAAACAUUUGAACAACGUAGUAUUUGGGAGAAUUGCAUCUAUAUUAGAAGCCUGAGUUUCCACUUUGGGAUUUUUAACGAAAAUAUUUUCAUUAUGUCUUAAUUUAACUUUGAAUCCUUAACUUUUUCUUUAUAGUAUUGUUUUUGUAUUGGGCUUAUUAUUAGACUUGAGUCCUGAAAAUUUGUGAGCUCCAAGUUCAAACCAGCCUCCAAGGUUAAGUGGAAAUCUUGUGUUUAUUUGUAAUAAAUAAAUCCCUCAGAGCUGUCUUUUCAGAACAUUAUCACUUCCUCAGUUUCCCUUCCUUACCCGUUCUUCUGCCAGUACUGUGAUGCUUACUUUUAACUCACCUGUGUCUUU